rnacentral:rRNA from 1 species
ACACCGGCAGCUCUAGUGGUAGCAGUUUUUAUUGGGCCUAAAGCGUCCGUAGCCGGUUUAAUAAGUCUCUGGUGAAAUCCUGUAGCUUAACUGUGGGAAUUGCUGGAGAUACUAUUAGACUUGAGACCGGGAGAGGUUAGAGGUACUCCCAGGGUAGAGGUGAAAUUCUGUAAUCCUGGGAGGACCGCCUGUUGCGAAGGCGUCUAACUGGAACGGUUCUGACGGUGAGGGACGAAAGUUAGGGGCGCGAACCGGAUUAGAUACCCGGGUAGUCCUAACUGUAAACGAUGCGGACUUGGUGUUGGGGUGGCUUUGAGCUGCUCCAGUGCCGAAGGGAAGCUGUUAAGUCCGCCGCCUGGGAAGUACGGUCGCAAGACUGAAACUCGAAUGAAUUGGCGGGG